GCUUUGGAAGCACACAAUAGUUGGAGCAAAACAGAGAAGAUUAGCAUGGCUCCUGCGCCAGGACGACAUGAAAAUUCGUGAAGCGUUCCACUAAAAA
rnacentral:snRNA from 1 species